UGGAUUCUUGAUCCCAUUACACAAUCUUGGAACCACGCGGUACGAGGAAAGAGCAGGGGACAAGCUGACAUGUCUCUUAUAUUGUUUGGACCCAUUUUUGCUUCACCUGGUCAAUUCAAAGAGAAGACGACAGUCAGAUCAACCAGUUACCACAAAACAAAUGGGAAAAGGAUUCUUUCGGAUUCUCGUUCUGCAAGCCGCCAUCAGGCUUUGGAAGGACGUGUAUCGAGA
rnacentral:lncRNA from 1 species